UACGGAGGGUGCAAGCGUUAAUCGGAAUUACUGGGCGUAAAGCGCGCGUAGGCGGCUUGGUAAGUCGAUUGUGAAAUCCCCGGGCUCAACCUGGGAAUUGCAGUCGAGACUGCUUGGCUAGAGUGUGGGAGAGGGUGGUGGAAUUCCCGGUGUAGCGGUGAAAUGCGUAGAUAUCUGGAGGAACACCGGUGGCGAAGGCGACAUCCUGGACCGGUAUUGACGCUGAGGCGCGAAAGCCAGGGGAGCAAACGGG
rnacentral:rRNA from 1 species